AAAGUGACAUUGGGAUGGAGACAAAUGGGAUGACACCUGGGCGAGAUUUUCAGCCAGACAUUGCCUCCGGUGUCUUACUGAAUUUAUCUCCAUCUUCAAUAUCACUUUCU